GAUGAACGCUGGCGGCGUGCCUAAUACAUGCAAGUCGAGCGAACGGACGAGAAGCUUGCUUCUCGGAGGUUAGCGGCGGACGGGGGAGUAACACGUGGAUAACCUACCUAUAAGACUGGGAUAACUUCGGGAAACCGUAGCUAAUACCGGAUAAUAUUUUGAACCGCAUGGUUCAAAAGUGAAAGACGGUCUUGCUGUCACUUAUAGAUGGAUCCGCGCUGCAUUAGCUAGUUGGUAAGGUAACGGCUUACCAAGGCAACGAUGCAUAGCCGACCUGAGAGGGUGAUCGGCCACACUGGAACUGAGACACGGUCCAGACUCCUACGGGAGGCAGCAGCAGGGAAUCUUCCGCAAUGGGCGAAAGCCUGACGGAGCAACGCCGCGUGAGUGAUGAAGGUCUUCGGAUCGUAAAACUCUGUUAUUAGGGAAGAACAUAUGUGUAAGUAACUGUGCACAUCUUGACGGUACCUAAUCAGAAAGCCACGGCUAACUACGUG
rnacentral:rRNA from 1 species